CACGCCCUAAACUAUGUCAACUGGUUGUCGGGGAAGCAAUUCCUUGGUAACGAAGCUAACGCGUGAAGUUGACCGCCUGGGGAGUACGGCCGCAAGGUUAAAACUCAAAGGAAUUGACGGGGACCCGCACAAGCGGUGGAUUAUGUGGAUUAAUUCGAUGCAACGCGAAAAACCUUACCUACCCUUGACAUGCCAGGAAGCUCGCAGAGAUGUGAGUGUGCCCGAAAGGGAACCUGGACACAGGUGCUGCAUGGCUGUCGUCAGCUCGUGUCGUGAGAUGUUGGGUUAAGUCCCGCAACGAGCGCAACCCUUGCCAUUAGUUGCUACAUUCAGUUGGGCACUCUAAUGGGACUGCCGGUGACAAACCGGAGGAAGGUGGGGAUGACGUCAAGUCCUCAUGGCCCUUAUGGGUAGGGCUUCACACGUAAUACAAUGGUAGGUACAAAGGGCAGCCAACCCGCGAGGGGGAGCUAAUCCCAGAAAGCCUAUCGUAGUCCGGAUUGUAGUCUGCAACUCGACUGCAUGAAGCCGGAAUCGCUAGUAAUCGUGGAUCAGCAUGUCACGGUGAAUACGUUCCCGGGUCUUGUACACACCGCCCGUCACACCAUGGGAGUGGGUUCCACCAGAAGUAGUUAGCCUAACCGCAAGGAGGGCGACUACCACGGUGAGAUUCAUGAC
rnacentral:rRNA from 1 species